UACGGGGGGGCAAGCGUUGUUCGGAAUUACUGGGCGUAAAGGGUUCGUAGGUGGCCAACUAAGCCAGACGUGAAAUCCCCAGGCUUAACCUGGGAACUGCGUCUGAUACUGGAUGGCUUGAAUUCGGGAGAGGGAUGCAGAAUUCCAGGUGUAGCGGUGAAAUGCGUAGAUAUCUGGAGGAAUACCGGUGGCGAAGGCGGCAUCCUGGACCGACAUUGACGCUGAGGAGCGAAAGCUAGGGGAGCAAACGGG
rnacentral:rRNA from 1 species